UCAAAUUUGAAAUCUGGCUUCGGCCCGAGUUGUAAUUUGUAGAGGAUGCUUUUGGUGAGGUGCCUUCUGAGUUCCCUGGAACGGGACGCCAGAGAGGGUGAGAGCCCCGUAUAGUCGGCCACCGAUCCUUUGUAAAGCUCCUUCGACGAGUCGAGUAGUUUGGGAAUGCUGCUCAAAAUGGGAGGUAUAUCUCUUCUAAAGCUAAAUAUUGGCCAGAGACCGAUAGCGCACAAGUAGAGUGAUCGAAAGAUGAAAAGCACUUUGAAAAGAGGGUUAAAUAGCACGUGAAAUUGUUGAAAGGGAAGCGCUUGUGACCAGACUUGUGCCGGGCUGAUCAUCCAGUGUUCUCACUGGUGCACUCGACCCGGCUCAGGCCAGCGUCGGUUCUCGCGGGGGGAUAAAAGCUUCGGGAACGUGGCACCUCCGGGUGUGUUAUAGCCCGUUGCUUAAUACCUUCGCGGGGACCGAGGUUCGCGC
rnacentral:rRNA from 1 species